rnacentral:rRNA from 1 species
UAGGGAAUCUUCCACAAUGGACGCAAGUCUGAUGGAGCAACGCCGCGUGAGUGAAGAAGGUUUUCGGACCGUAAAGCUCUGUUGUUGGUGAAGAAGGAUAGAGGUAGUAACUGGCCUUUAUUUGACGGUAAUCAACCAGAAAGUCACGGCUAACUACGUGCCAGCAGCCGCGGUAAUACGUAGGUGGCAAGCGUUGUCCGGAUUUAUUGGGCGUAAAGCGAGCGCAGGCGGAAGAAUAAGUCUGAUGUGAAAGCCCUCGGCUUAACCGAGGAAUUGCAUCGGAAACUGUUUUCUUGAGUGCAGAAGAGGAGAGUAGAACUCCAUGUGUAGCGGUGGAAUGCGUAGAUAUAUGGAAGAAUACCAGUGGCGAAGGCGGCUCUCUGGUCUGCAACUGACGCUGAGGCUCGAAAGCAUGGGUAGCGAACAGGAUUAGAUACCCUUGGUAGUCCAUG